rnacentral:sRNA from 1 species
GUGGCCGGAACGCCGAGUCCUGCCUGCUGGUCACGGUCAACAAACACACAGGCAUGGAGCGGGGGACCCACAGUUCCUCGGUGCACUCGAAUUGAGCGCACCUCGGGGUGAAGCCGCAUUUUCAAGCGGCCGGGCUCCUCGGCCCGAACCCGACAGCUCACCUCGCAGGCGUGGAGGGAAAAACUU